UACGUAGGGUGCGAGCGUUGUCCGGAAUUAUUGGGCGUAAAGAGCUUGUAGGCGUUUGUCGCGUCUGCUGUGAAAAUCCGGGGCUCAACCCCGGACUUGCAGUGGGUACGGGCAGACUAGAGUGUGGUAGGGGAGACUGGAAUUCCCGGUGUAGCGGUGAAAUGCGCAGAUAUCGGGAGGAACACCAGUGGCGAAGGCGGCACUCUGGGCUGGUACUGACGCUGAGGAGCGAAAGCGUGGGGAGCGAACGAGG
rnacentral:rRNA from 1 species